rnacentral:rRNA from 1 species
UACGUAGGGUGCAAGCGUUAAUCGGAAUUACUGGGCGUAAAGCGUGCGCAGGCGGCUUUGCAAGACAGAUGUGAAAUCCCCCGGGCUUAACCUGGGAACUGCAUUUGUGACUGCAGGGCUGGAGUGCGGCAGAGGGGGAUGGAAUUCCGCGUGUAGCAGUGAAAUGCGUAGAUAUGCGGAGGAACACCGAUGGCGAAGGCAAUCCCCUGGGCCUGCACUGACGCUCAUGCACGAAAGCGUGGGGAGCAAACAGG